rnacentral:rRNA from 1 species
GUGGGGAAUAUUGGACAAUGGGCGAAACCCUGAUCUAGCCAUGCCGCGUGAGCGAUGAAGGCCUUAGGGUUGUAAAGCUCUUUCAGCUGGGAAGAUAAUGACGGUACCAGCAGAAGAAGCCCCGGCUAACUCCGUGCCAGCAGCCGCGGUAAUACGGAGGGGGCUAGCGUUGUUCGGAAUUACUGGGCGUAAAGCGCGCGUAGGCGGACCAGAAAGUUGGAGGUGAAAUCCCAGGGCUCAACCUUGGAACUGCCUUCAAAACUCCUGGUUUGGAGUUCGAGAGAGGUGAGUGGAAUUCCGAGUGUAGAGGUGAAAUUCGUAGAUAUUCGGAGGAACACCAGUGGCGAAGGCGGCUCACUGGCUCGAUACUGACGCUGAGGUGCGAAAGCGUGGGGAGCAAACAGGAUUAGAAACCCGGGUAGUCC